GAUGAACGCUAGCUACAGGCUUAACACAUGCAAGUCGAGGGGAAACGACAUCGAAAGCUUGCUUUUGAUGGGCGUCGACCGGCGCACGGGUGAGUAACGCGUAUCCAACCUGCCCAUCACUUGGGGAUAACCUUGCGAAAGUAAGACUAAUACCCAAUGAUCUCUCUAGAAGACAUCUGAAAGAGAUUAUAGAUUUAUCGGUGAUGGAUGGGGAUGCGUCUGAUUAGCUUGUUGGCGGGGUAACGGCCCACCAAGGCAACGAUCAGUAGGGGUUCUGAGAGGAAGGUCCCCGACAUUGGAGCUGAGACUCGGUCCAAACCCCUACGGGCGGCAGCAGUGAGGAAUAUUGGGCAAUGGGCGAGAGCCUGAACCAGCCAAGUAGCGUGCAGGAAGACGGCCCUAUGGGUUGUAAACUGCUUUUAUAAGGGAAUAAAGUGAGAGUCGUGACUCUUUUUGUAUGUACCUUAUGAAUAAGGACCGGCUAAUUCCGUG
rnacentral:rRNA from 1 species